GAAAGAAAAGACCAAGCAGAGGUAGAGGAGGAAAAACAAAACAAUUAGGCUGUCACUACGAGCAACACCUUUCACAUAUAUGUAGUCAUUUGACCCACUGUUCAUAAAAACUUUGGUUGAAGAGAUCUUCAUACAUUUAAAUCAUGAAAUAUAUUUUCCCACUAUCAAUAUCAAACAUAUUAAGGGUCAAUCAAUCAUUAUUCAUUAAUAUAUCGGUCUAUAAAUGUGUGCUGAAAACACUACUGUUAGUGCAUUUGUUGGGGACUAUUUUCAGCGGUGGAUUAAUCCACAUUUGGUGCUCUAGUGAGUACUUGGGGCAGCAGGACGGUGUGUGUGGGAUUGUGAUCAGUAGAUCGGGAUUAAUGAUUAUGUUCUUACCACUGCGUGUUGAAUCAUAAUUAUUCUAAAUUGAGAGGCACGUGCUCACUAUUUGCAGUCAGCAUAAUGCCAUGCCAUUGUGAGCCAGGACUGGGACACUCAGUUUUUAUAGUCGAAUAUUUUAACUAUGACUUAGUUUUCGGUAAUGGCUCCUCAAGGCGAGGAAGAAAGCAGAGGCAGAGCAGGUGGCGUGUCAGAAUAAAUUAAAAAAAUGAAAAAGCUGAGUGAUUUCUGAUUCCCAGCAGCUUCAUUGUAAUGAACUUGAUGAACAAAACUUUAGUCAAAAUAUAAGACAGGUGUGGUUCAUUUGAAUUUCAAGGACUUUUUAAGCACUUUGUUAAGAAAGGGGCUAUUUUCAAGGUAUUCCAGUACUUGAUUUGUUUUUAAUACUACUAUACCAGCUGCAAUAAUAAAACAAAAUUCGAUCGUAUCGGCUUAUACGGCUCAUAGAUGAUCGCCAAUGGUAUCGGCAACAAAAAAACGUGAUCGGGGCAUCCCUACCAAGUACAACAGUGUGGCUCAUUCGUGUGUUUUUAAUAGUUUUUGGACAACAAUUAAACUUUGAUCUCAACAUAAAUGUAACAUCAUAACUUCAGAGUUACUGUGCUAUGAUUAUAUCUUGACAGGUGUCAGUUAAUUUGUCCGUGCCUGUCUAAGAUACAUCUGGUGCUGCUUUCAAACUAAUCUUGAAGUUAGAAAGAAAUCACUAAUGAAUAUACAAUAGUUCUUCAUAUCUUUUAUCAACAUCUUGGCUAAGUUCAGAUAUUGUGUAGAUUUUCAUUGUGAUAACUAUGUGAUUCUCAGUUGUCAACAUUAAAUUGCUGAUAUGUAAAGUCGGACUUUUGUGUUACUCUGUGUCAGUGGGUCAAACAGAAGACUGAAUGGACGAGGAAGAACAGUUGGGGUCAAACCUGACCUAAUGACAGCUGGAGAUCUUGACAAAAAUAUAUUAAGAUUAACUGUUUUAUGAAAGCACUCA